CAGUCGCCGCGGUAAUGCGUAGGUCCCGAGCGUUGUCCGGAUUUAUUGGGCGUAAAGGGAGCGCAGGCGGUUUAGUAAGUCUGAAGUUAAAGGCAUUGGCUCAACCAAUGUAUGCUUUGGAAACUGUUAGACUUGAGUGCAGAAGGGGAGAGUGGAAUUCCAUGUGUAGCGGUGAAAUGCGUAGAUAUAUGGAGGAACACCGGUGGCGAAAGCGGCUCUCUGGUCUGUCACUGACGCUGAGGCUCGAAAGCGUGGGUAGCGAACAGGAUUAGAUACCCCUGUAGUCCCUGUCUCUUAUACC
rnacentral:rRNA from 1 species